UACGGAGGGUGCGAGCGUUGUCCGGAAUUACUGGGCGUAAAGGGUGCGUAGGCGGUUGUUUAAGUCUGUCGUGAAAUCCCCGGGCUCAACCUGGGAAUGGCGAUGGAUACUGGACAGCUAGAGUGUGUCAGAGGAUGGUGGAAUUCCCGGUGUAGCGGUGAAAUGCGUAGAGAUCGGGAGGAACAUCAGUGGCGAAGGCGGCCAUCUGGGACAACACUGACGCUGAAGCACGAAAGCGUGGGGAGCAAACAGG
rnacentral:rRNA from 1 species